GUUUUGUGAUGAUUCCCAUGCGUGUCAACUGAUCCUAGACCCCCUGCAGUUCUCAAUGUCUGUUUGGCGUUUUGCUUUGCAGUACAUUUGAGUCUGUAAGACUUCAGGAAUAUGAUCAUGACUGUCAAAUCUGAAAAC